GAGGGUGUAGCUCAGUGGUAGAGCAUAUGCUUAGCAUGCACAAAGUCUUAGGUUCUAUCCCCAGUACCUCCA
rnacentral:tRNA from 1 species